CUUUCUCUGCUACCCGAUGCGCUGGUCUGCCUUCACUCAAAACACAUCACUAACCAGCUGGAAGUCCGGCCGCCACAGUGCGUCCGCCGCGAUAGCGAACGUAAAACGCCGAAUAAAACAUACAAAAAAAAAGCUAUAAAAAAAGAGAAUAUUCUCCUGCUCUUUUCCUACUGCAAUAGGGGCAAUGCCGGCACGAAGUCAUAUCUGUUUCCUGCUUUGCGUGUUCGCCAUCGCCGCCUCGGCACUGGCGGUGAGGGCUUCGCUUCUCAUCGAAGUUCCUCCUGAGCAAACGUUUUUGCUGCAGCGCCGUCACAUGGGGUCGAGAGACGAGGAUGCACUUCGUGCUAUUACUCGCGGCCUGCCGUCGUCCUCGACUCCAAAUGCGUCGCUCGACCACUUGAAGUCACUCUCGUCCAAGGAGCUGAACAAGAUGAUAAGAGAUCGUGACAGUGAAUGCCACGGCUGCGUCGAGCGCCGUGAUUUGGUGCAGCGUGCGUAUGAGGUACAACAGCUUCCGACCAUGGACGAGCGCGUCGCAUGGCAGCUAACCGUGUCCGACCGAAGGCUCAUCACAAUGCCGACACGUCUGGAAAAUCUCGCAUUUGUCACGGGCGCCCUCUCCAACACCAACUGCAACAUCUUCAACAAGACCAUCUAUUGCAACGUACGCGAAAUAUGAUCCCGAAGCAGAACGAAGCCAUUUCUCAUCUUCCUUCUCUAAACCAGAGGUUACCCUGAGGCCUGCAACACAGAUUCGAUUCAUACUCGUGCACGACACUGUGCCUUUGUCCACCGUCCAUAACCUCUGCUGUCUACGGGCCCUUCAUGUCUGCCUUGUGUUUCCGCGACUUUUCCUCGACACCCGUAUCACUUGUCGCUCUACGUCUGCCAUGCUUCCUGGUCUUUUGUUUCUCUUGUCAGCAUGCGUGCGUGCUGGUUUCUUCUGUACUACUUGUCGGAUGCUGCUGCCGAGCUAUGCAGCAUUUUUUUUUCCUGGGCUUUGCUCUUUCUUUACCCGAUUCCCCGCCCCUCACCGCCUCUCUGCAGCCGGGCUGGAGCUUUCAUUUCUACCCCUCAUCGUUGGCUCUGUUCCACCUGUGCUUGUGGUCUGUGAGCGUUGCUGCAGAGACGGUGGAUGACCUCAAAAAGAAACGCG
rnacentral:misc_RNA from 1 species